rnacentral:rRNA from 1 species
GAUGAACGCUGGCGGCGUGCCUAAUACAUGCAAGUCGAGCGAACAGACGAGGAGCUUGCUCCUCUGACGUUAGCGGCGGACGGGUGAGUAACACGUGGAUAACCUACCUAUAAGACUGGGAUAACUUCGGGAAACCGGAGCUAAUACCGGAUAAUAUAUUGAACCGCAUGGUUCAAUAGUGAAAGACGGUUUUGCUGUCACUUAUAGAUGGAUCCGCGCCGCAUUAUCUAGUUGGUAAGGUAACGGCUUACCAAGGCAACGAUGCGUAGCCGACCUGAGAGGGUGAUCGGCCACACUGGAACUGAGACACGGUCCAGACUCCUACGGGAGGCAGCAGUAGGGAAUCUUCCGCAAUGGGCGAAAGCCUGACGGAGCAACGCCGCGUGAGUGAUGAAGGUCUUCGGAUCGUAAAACUCUGUUAUUAGGGAAGAACAAAUGUGUAAGUAACUAUGCACGUCUUGACGGUACCUAAUCAGAAAGCCACGGCUAACUACGU